rnacentral:rRNA from 1 species
UACGUAGGGUGCGAGCGUUAAUCGGAAUUACUGGGCGUAAAGCGUGCGCAGGCGGUUCGCUGUGUCCGAUGUGAAAGCCCCGGGCUCAACCUGGGAAUGGCAUUGGAAACUGGCGGGCUUGAGUGCGGCAGAGGGGGGUGGAAUUCCGCGUGUAGCAGUGAAAUGCGUAGAGAUGCGGAGGAACACCGAUGGCGAAGGCAGCCCCCUGGGUCGACACUGACGCUCAGGCACGAAAGCGUGGGGAGCGAACAGG